rnacentral:rRNA from 1 species
CCUACGGGAGGCAGCAGUGGGGAAUAUUGGACAAUGGGGGGAACCCUGAUCCAGCCAUGCCGCGUGUGUGAAGAAGGCCCUCGGGUUGUAAAGCACUUUCAGUGAGGAAGAACGCCUGGUGGUUAAUACCCAUCAGGAAAGACAUCACUCACAGAAGAAGCACCGGCUAACUCCGUGCCAGCAGCCGCGGUAAUACGGAGGGUGCGAGCGUUAAUCGGAAUUACUGGGCGUAAAGCGCGCGUAGGUGGCUUGAUAAGCCGGUUGUGAAAGCCCUGGGCUCAACCUGGGAACGGCAUCCGGAACUGUCAAGCUAGAGUGCAGGAGAGGAAGGUAGAAUUCCCGGUGUAGCGGUGAAAUGCGUAGAGAUCGGGAGGAAUACCAGUGGCGAAGGCGGCCUUCUGGACUGACACUGACACUGAGGUGCGAAAGCGUGGGUAGCAAACAGGAUUAGAUACCCUGGUAGUC